rnacentral:misc_RNA from 1 species
UAAUAAGUGUUGUACUGCACUUCUUAAAACAGUAUUCACCUUGUGUGCAAUGUUGUGUGAGAGAGCGCACUUGUGCCUCUCUUACACUUACAUCAACCUACAUUUUCAAUCACUUUGUCUGAAAACGAUUACGAAUACUUAAUUCGAAAUA